rnacentral:lncRNA from 1 species
CCAAUACUUGUGAAUUCCGUCAGUGGCAAUAUACCCUCAUUUUCCAGUGGCAGUCAAAAUUCCCCAAAUUUGCCUUUCGAACAGUCUGUAUUAUGUGAAGGGAUGUCAUCUGUAUCUGUAUCCAAUGAAUUUCUGCCAAUAUAGGCACACCUCCGUAUAUGGAGUAAAACAAUAAAAUAGUUCCACCAGUGCAAUAGGAUAGAAUAUUAUUCCAC